rnacentral:tRNA from 1 species
GGAGACGUGGGUGAGUGGUCGAAACCAGGUCCUUGCUAAGGAUCCGAACCUCCGGGUUCCGUGAGUUCGAAUCUCACCGUCUCCGCCA